UACCAGACUCCUACGGGAGGCAGCAGUGGGGGAUAUUGCACAAUGGGGGGAACCCUGAUGCAGCGACGCCGCGUGGGUGAAGGAGUGCUUCGGCAUGUAAAGCCCUAUCGGCAGGGAAGAAGCAAGACGGUACCUGACUAAGAAGCCCCGGCUAACUACGGGCCAGCAGCCGCGGUAAUACGUAGGGGGCGAGCGUUAUCCGGAUUCACUGGGUGGAAAGGGAGCGUAGACGGCCAUGCAAGCCAGGGGUGAAAGCCCGGGGCUCAACCCCGGGACUGCAUUGGGAACUGCCCCGCUCGAGUGCCGGAGGGGCAGGCGGAAUUCCUAGUGUAGCGGUGAAAUGCGUAGAUAUUAGGAGGAACACCAGUGGCGAAGGCGGCCUGCUGGACGGUGUACUGGCGCUGAGGCUCGAAAGCGUGGGGAGCAAACAGGAUUAGAUACCCCUGUAU
rnacentral:rRNA from 1 species